UACGUAGGGGGGCUAGCGUUAUCCGGAUUUACUGGGCGUAAAGCGUACGUAGGCGGCUUUUUAAGUCGGAUGUGAAAUCCCUGAGCUUAACUUAGGAAUUGCAUUCGAUACUGGGAAGCUAGAGUAUGGGAGAGGAUGGUAGAAUUCCAGGUGUAGCGGUGAAAUGCGUAGAGAUCUGGAGGAAUACCGAUGGCGAAGGCAGCCAUCUGGCCUAAUACUGACGCUGAGGUACGAAAGCAUGGGGAGCAAACAGG
rnacentral:rRNA from 1 species